ensembl:snoRNA C25F6.30 ncRNA
CAUCUCAAAACAAAAACUUUACAUAUUCCACAUAUUCCUCCUUGACCCAUUGAUCUCUCCCAAACUCCAUUUCUUCUACUUAUUCAGGACUCACUUCAUUGAGAUUUCACUGACUUCUUUCCCAAAGUUUUAACCUACGAGUAUAUAAGAGAAUCGAACUGAAAAAAAGAUGAGAUAGUUGAAGAGGUGA